UACAGAGGGGGCAAGCGUUGUUCGGAAUUACUGGGCGUAAAGGGCGCGUAGGCGGCCUGUUAAGUCGAACGUGAAAUCCCCGGGCUCAACCCGGGAACUGCGUCCGAUACUGGCAGGCUUGAAUCCGGGAGAGGGAUGCGGAAUUCCAGGUGUAGCGGUGAAAUGCGUAGAUAUCUGGAGGAACACCGGUGGCGAAGGCGGCAUCCUGGACCGGCAUUGACGCUGAGGCGCGAAAGCCAGGGGGAGCAAAACGGGGAUUAGAAAACCCCCGGGUAG
rnacentral:rRNA from 1 species